CAACGUUGUGAUUAACCAUCUAAUUGUUUUGCUGUGCCCAAGAGUGGGACCAGGCGCACUGGAGUCCGGAAGAGAUUUCUGCUGCUGAUCAGAUGGGAGACCACUCUCGUGGAUGGAUCACGCAUCCCUCAGAACUGGAGUCCAGCUUGAAUGCUCCCUUCGUUUCACAUGGAUCAGGUUGGGUGAUCAGAGGAGCUCUCGCAACACGCACCAGGAUCCAGGAGUCCUAUGUUCACCCUAUCCAAAGGAUCAGGUUGACUUUCACCCUGGAAAAAAUGUCUGGUCUGCUCUAGUCAUUCAGGAUUCCAGAUAUGUCUGUUUUUUUCUGCUCUUAGUUCAAGAUACCAAGAAGGAAGCUAUUAGCAGAAAGACAUUCUGAGCAUAACCUGAAAAUGAAGUCCUUACAGAUGUCCCCACUUUGGAUGUAAAACAGUGAAUCCACUAAUAUCACUAACAAGUUUUGAAAAUUCAGACCAGAGCGUUUUGCUGAGCAUCUGAAAAGACUUUCCUUCCAAGAACAAGUACUGUCAGUGAUGCUUUGGGUAACCGCUACAAGGAUUACGCACGUGAUAUUUGUUAGAUGAUGGUGUGUAUCUAUUUAGUUUACAAAGUGGUGUUUUUUGGCAUAAAAACGCAUGCGUCAUUACAGCUGUAAAGCCUCGCAAAACCUCAGGGUUACAGUUCUCAACAGCAACGUUUUUGGCGUUCGAAAGGAUGGGUCAGAACUGCAAAGUGUCCCAAGAUCCAAAAUUUUCACCACAGAUGAGUGGGUUGUGCUCUAGAUAUUUUGCUUGGCCCCGCUUGUGAAACAUAGGUUCACAGAUGCAGAGCCCUGUAUCCCAGCACUGCGGAGGACAGGGGUUUGUAAAGAAAUGAUACUGGCUCGUGGGCGUCUGCAGGGUCUUGUUGGAAGGGUCAGGGCUUUCCGCCUUCCCCUUUCUGACUACUCCUGAUGGAGACUCAUUGUCGAAGUCCUCACUUUUGGUGGGAGCGAGGCCGAAGGGGGCAUAUGGUGCAGAGGCAGCAGAAGAAGGACUGUCGGAGUGGCCCCUAGAUUUAGCAGGCCAUCAAGAUCGCAGCACAUCUACGUGCAGCUUCUCAGGAUGCCCAGAUCAGGAGACAAAGGAAAGUGAGUAAAUUUGGAUGACUCACCGAGGUGGGACAGGAUGGAGAGGCUAAUCCCUGUCAGCUCCUAAAGAGUACAAAGAGGCACAUCCAAAACAAGCACAUCAUCACCAAGCUUGGAAGAAUCCAGGAGACGUGAGUAGACCUCGAUAGCUGGCGUCUCUCAUCCUCCGCGUCCCUGCGAGGAAUCCUGGGCUGGCCACCUGGAGACGAGCGUCCUGGUGCCUGCUGCUGGACCGGCUGCCUGCACACAU
rnacentral:lncRNA from 1 species